AGAUCCCUAAGCGUGAAGACAGCUGACAUUUGCAUAGAUGGUGGAAAACAAGGGAGGAAAUAGCCAUUUUCUUUGUGAGUAGAUCUGCAGGUAGAAAGUCGUACUCCCAUUUCUCGGCCACCACACCACGACCUUCUUUCCAGGAACUUUCUUCGGCAGCAGAAAACAGAAAAACGCGCGGCAGACAUCAGAAAAGUGCGCGCAAGCGCAAAUACGCUAAGAGAGUGGGGCAGGCGGGAGAGGAGAGCGGGCAAAGAGAGCAGAACUCGCUUGAGAGAGAACUGAGUCAUCGACGCCGCUGCUUCACUCUUUUUUUCUUCUUCAUUUUACAUUUUUUUUUCUGCAACUUUUGCACUUUCUCGAAAAAAUUUUUCUUUGUUGUUGGAUAAUAUAUAUGGGGUAUUACUCACCGGACUGAGCCUGGGCAAUGACAUCGCGACCCUUGACGCACGGAAUGAUGGCGCGCUGUUGGAUGGCCGAUGGCUUCUC